CAUCCCUGCUCCGGCUCUCCGCCUCUGCCACAGACGUGCCGCACCGAGACAUGGAGCGCUUGCUACAUGGUAUCACAUACUGACGUCUAAUAUUUUCUCUGCAUGGUUUGCAGAUAGAGACUGAUAUAGAUGAUGACCAGAUCUUAAAUUGAGAGAGCAACGGGUAGAUAGGAAGGGUGCCAACAAGUUCAAGAAAUGAUGGCAAGAAGAGAGGAAGCUGACAAGCAUACACUACAACACCAAAGAAAAGCAAUGAAGUAAAACAAAGCUUAGUGCCCACAUUUCAUUGGGCCGACUGCCGAGACUCCAGCCCCUGAUUAUCUAAAGCAGCUCAGGAAGACUGGUUAUGCACAGUACCCACUGCCACCACUAUGUAUAUUUGCCAGUUAUGUACUUUUGUACGACAGAGGUUACUGAAAUUUGCUCAUCCUCUAUUUCCUAGCAGUCACCCAUCGCCAAAAACUGGAGCUAGCUACUAGCACACACCUCCAGCUCUCCAAACAAAACUAUUCUCCGUUUAAAACAAGCGGCCAUACUUGAUACGGACAAUCAUGUGACCACCAGCCAGUGUCCCUUCAUGUUCAGUCCAGAAGAAACAUGUAUCCAUGCCGUCUUCCUCAUCAUUAUCCUUCAUGUAAUCCAAUAUAAAAUAGGACGAUGGAGGUCUUCCUGGCUUUGUUGAGGGGGGCAAACAAGGAUUCGAUAAGAGGACACUGAUUCCCCAUUGGACGAUGAAGCACACGACUCUUUCUUCACCAAAGGCCAACAACUCACCAUCUUCUCCCGCAACAACGAGGACACCAAUGCGAAGCACUGAUGAAUGGGUACUAGGGAACAUCAGCACUACCAGUCUUACCAUCCUACUUUGCUACUUCUUCCAAGCUUUGGUAACCAAGAAUAUGUCAAUGGUUAUGUUCAAGUAGAAACUCAUGUAUUUUCCAUGUAUCCUAUAUGUAAAAUGA